rnacentral:rRNA from 1 species
AUUGAACGCUGGCGGCAGGCUUAACACAUGCAAGUCGAGCGAGCGGCGGACGGGUGAGUAAUGUCUGGGAAAAUGCCUGAUGGAGGGGGCUAACUACUGGAAACGGUAGCUAAUACCGCAUACCAUCAGAUGUGCCCAGAUGGGAUUAGCUAGUAGGUGGGGUAAUGGCUCACCGAGGCGGCGAUCCCUAGCUGCUCUGAGAGGAUGACGUGACAACCUGGAACUGAGACACGACCCAGAAUCCUACGGGAGGCAGCAGUGGGGAAUAUUGCACAAUGGGCGGAAGCCUGAUGCAGCAAUGCCGCGUGUGUGAAGAAGGCCUUCGGGUUGUAAAGCAUUUUCAGCGAGGAGGCGUUACUCGCAGAAGAAGCACCGGCUAACUCCGUGCCAGCCGCCGCGGUAAUUC